rnacentral:tRNA from 1 species
GGCAUAUUCGUCUAACGGUUAGGACGCGGCCCUCUCAAGGCCGUAAUACGGGUUCGAUUCCCGUAUAUGCUACUA